rnacentral:rRNA from 1 species
GACAGAGGGUGCAAACGUUGUUCGGAAUUACUGGGCGUAAAGCGCGUGUAGGCGGCUAAGUAAGUCGGGCGUGAAAUCCCACGGCUCAACCGUGGAAGUGCACUCGAAACUGCAUAGCUAGAGUCCUGGAGAGGAAGGUGGAAUGCUUGGUGUAGAGGUGAAAUUCGUAGAUAUCAAGCGGAACACCGGUGGCGAAGGCGGCCUUCUGGACAGUGACGUGACGCUGAGACGCGAAAG